GACGAACGCUGGCGGCGUGCUUAACACAUGCCAGUCGAACGGAAAGGCCCUGCUUUUGUGGGGUGCUCGAGUGGCGAACGGGUGAGUAACACGUGAGUAACCUGCCCUUGACUUUGGGAUAACUUCAGGAAACUGGGGCUAAUACCGGAUAGGAGCUCCUGCUGCAUGAUGGGGGUUGGAAAGUUUCGGCGGUUGGGGAUGGACUCGCGGCUUAUCAGCUUGUUGGUGGGGUAGUGGCUUACCAAGGCUUUGACGGGUAGCCGGCCUGAGAGGGUGACCGGCCACAUUGGGACUGAGAUACGGCCCAGACUCCUACGGGAGGCAGCAGUGGGGAAUAUUGCACAAUGGGCGGAAGCCUGAGGCAGCAACGCCGCGUGCGGGAUGACGGCCUUCGGGUGGUAAACCGCUUUCGCCUGUGACGAAGCGGGAGUGACGGUAAUGGGUAAAGAAGCACCGGCUAACUACGUG
rnacentral:rRNA from 1 species